rnacentral:lncRNA from 1 species
AGACUUUACUGUAUAUAUUCCAGACAUAGUAGGAAGAAAUUCAGGUUUUUCCACCCCAACAAAGUACUGUGGAUUAUUUGCAAGAAGUCUGGGAAAUUCCAGAAGUCUGUUUUCAAAAGACACCCACUUGGCUGCCCAGCAGUUUGAGAAUAAUCCCUCAUUCAGGAAAAUAGGUGUUAUUAUCAUUAUCCUAUAAUACCUCUGAAACCUAAUGUAAGGCUUUUUCUUCCAACAAAGCCCCAUCUGCUUCGUUUUAGGGUGUGAGCUCGUUAGUGCCUGCUACCAUAUGUUGACAGGAUGCAGAUUCCUUCGUUAAUUCCACUAGGCCGUAUUCCUGGAGCAUGUUGAGUGCACGACUUGUUAUGGAUCCAAGAAAGACGCUCCUUGGCUUUCUCCCAAUUCCUGGCUGUUCUGGCAAUAUCUUGACCGUGCUGGAAGCCCGCUGGUCAAGAUCAAGCUACCUUUAGGAACGCUGUUGGCUCCUAGGUCCUACCACACAAUAAGCAUGCUCUGAAACACAAACAGGAGGCUGCAAGAGCAACAGGGAACA